GUUGAAGAUGGUCCAGUUCCAGAAAUAACAUAUAGGAGGAGAUCAUGGGAGCUUAAAUACAGAUGGUUGGCUGUUUUCCUCGUGGAAGAAAGGUAUUCUGCUCAACCAAGAGAUAUAGUUGGAAAUCAAGAAAUACCUUGAAAGCCCUACUUGCCUAAAGCUUAUUCUGGCUGAAGUCCAUGCAUGAAGUUCAAAGUUUCUUUUUCCACAAUAUUUAUGAUGACUGUGACUUUGACCAAUCAAUCCAAGAUUAGC